rnacentral:rRNA from 1 species
UAACGAAUCUUCCGCAAUGCGCGAAAGCGUGACGGAGCAAUGCCGCGUGUAGGAUGUAGCUUCUCGGAGUGUAAACUACUGUCAGGGUUUAGCAACACAAUGAGCAGACCCAAAGGAAGGGCCGGCUAACUUCGUGCCAGCAGCCGCGGUAAUACGAAGGGCCCGAGCGUUGCGCGGAAUCAUUGGGCUUAAAGCGUACGUAGGCGGACACAUAGGCGCUUUGUGAAAUCCCUCGGCUCAACCGAGGAACUGCUUGGCGAACCAUGUGUCUUGAGGCAAGUAGGGGCUGUCGGAACGAUAGGUGGAGUGGUGAAAUGCGUUGAUAUCUAUCGGAACGCCGAAGGAGAAAU